rnacentral:rRNA from 1 species
GAAGUAAAAGUCGUAACAAGGUUUCCGUAGGUGAACCUGCGGAAGGAUCAUUAUUGUAUAACAGAGGUGUUCUGGGCUGUCGCUGACCUACUUAGUAGGUCGUGCACGCCCGGAUCAUUCUCAUUUACAUGUCUACUUCACCCCUUGUGCAUCGCCGCGUGGGCCCUCUUGAAUCAUCAAAGGGGGCUUACGUUUUUACAAUGAACGUCGUAAUAGUGAAUGUCUUAUAUUUUGCGCUCAUACGCAAUCAAUACAACUUUCAACAACGGAUCUCUUGGCUCUCGCAUCGAUGAAGAACGCAGCGAAAUGCGAUACGUAAUGUGAAUUGCAGAAUUCAGUGAAUCAUCGAAUCUUUGAACGCACCUUGCACCCCUUGGCAUUCCGAGGGGUACACCCGUUUGAGUGUCGUGAAAUUCUCAACCUUCCCAAUUUUGGGAUGGCUUGGACUUUGGAGGUUCUUGCUGGCACCUGCAGCUUAGAAGAAGCCAGCUCCUCUUAAAUGAAUUAGUGGGGUUCUUUUAACCGACUCCUCGACGUGAUAAGGUUUUCUACGUCUGAGGUUUGGCUCCGAGACCCGCUUCUAAUCGCCUCUCUUUGAGAUGUGAUCCCCUGGACC